rnacentral:rRNA from 1 species
GACGAACGCUGGCGGCGUGCUUAACACAUGCAAGUCGAACGAUGAACCCGGAGCUUGCUCCGGUGGAUUAGUGGCGAACGAGUGAGUAACACGUGAGUAACCUGCCCUUGACUCUGGGAUAACUGCGGGAAACUGUAGCUAAUACCGGAUACGACCCUCGGCGGCAUCGCCAGGGGGUGGAAAGAACUUCGGUCAAGGAUGGACUCGCGGCCAUCAGCUAGUUGGUGAGGUAACGGCUCGCCAAGGCGACGACGGGUAGCCGGCCUGAGAGGGUGACCGGCCACACUGGGACUGAGACACGGCCCAGACUCCUACGGGAGGCAGCAGUGGGGAAUAUUGCACAAUGGGCGCAAGCCUGAUGCAGCAACGCCGCGUGAGGGAUGACGGCCUUCGGGUUGUAAACCUCUUUUAGUAGGGAAGAAGCGAAAGUGACGGUACCUGCAGAAAAAGCACCGGCUAACUACGUGCCAGCCGCCGCAGUAA